UCGAUGAGGAAGAAAACGUUUUGCAGACUGGGCAAAUUUUCGAAGCCAUUGAUUCUGAUAUAGGUGUACUUGUUGAAGCAAUAUCUUCUACCGAGCUACGACCGGAGUUGCCACCAAAUUUUACUAUCAACUUACACUUCUUGUUUGGUUGCCGUGAGGCGGUCUCAGUCUUGUGCGUCAAAGAAGGUCCUCCACCAGCACCAACUCCGGCUAAGGCUUUCACUGAUGUCUCGGUUUCUGGUACCAAGUUCGACCGGAAGUGCUUAGGCACUGAGUCUAUAUCAGAUUGAGAUACACUAGUUGUUGUGCAUGGGAAAUCAUCUCCUCCAAAUCCACAUGAACUUAUGUCUACUCGAUUUUCUACUAAAUUAACAGUACCAGAGGGAAUAUCAUCCGCUGCUGAUUCUAUCACCCCACCAUUAUCAGCAGACUUGCUGAGCUUGUCCACAAACUUAUGCGACUUUUGCUUCUGAUUAACUACAGUAGGGCCAACCGUACAUCUGCCAAAACUUUGUUUUCUCACAAUACCAAGAGACUGAAACGGUGGCAGCACAUCUUUCACGCCAUGUUUCAAACAAAGUUGCAAGCUUUUCGAAGAGA
rnacentral:lncRNA from 1 species